AAUGGACUCUCAGCAACGGAUAUCUUGGCUCCUGCAACGAUGAAGAACGCAGCGAAAUGCGAUACCUAGUGUGAAUUGCAGAAUUCCGCGAAUCAUCGAGUUUUUGAACGCAAGUUGCGCCCGAGGUUCAUACCGAGGGCAUGUCUGUCUGAGCGUCCAC
rnacentral:rRNA from 1 species